GGGGAACCCGCGCGUUGCAGCGGGAUCGACAUUUGCGACGUUGUUUGCGCUUCCUGGGCAUCAACUCCGGACCUGAAGGUAUCUGAAAGUAACAGGUCAGCAGUUUCCAUUCUUACCAAGAAUAAACGAGGCAGAAAAAGGAAGUCAGAAUCUAUUUCAUCCAAGUCAUCAAAGUCAGCUCUGAAAACCGUUAGAAGGGCUCGAAAGUUUAAAUUUUCAGGAAACAAAAUAAAAAAUUCAAAGAUACUCAAAAGGUCACCAAGAUCCGCUUCGGCACCAAGACCUAUCGUUAGUAUUACUAAAUGUACCUCAUCACAACAAAAGAGUGGACCAAAGCUAACGAAAAAGAAUCUUUCAUUGCAUUCGCCUGUUUUUAAGGAAGGAGGAUUACCAGAUGGAACUGAACUAACUUACGUUGCUUGUGGAAAGAAAUGUCUAAAUGGUUAUAAGUUGGGUAAUGGUAUCUUUUGUUCCUGUUGCAAAACUGGGAUCAGUGCCUCACAGUUUGAAGAUCAUGCUGGUUGGGCCUCACGCAGAAAACCGUAAGUCGCCUAAUGAAACAGCGACCUUCCAAGAGUUUUCUGUCCAAAAGCUGCAAAAGCUGCAAAAGCUGCAACCUUCCUGAAGAUCGCUGUUUGAAUCAGCUAUGUUAUUCAAGAUCGCUGUUUGAAACAGAUACCUUAAGAAGGUCGCUGUUUCAAACCACCAACUCAAUAAAGAUCGCUGAAUGGUACAGCUAUGUUAUAAGAGAUUGUGGUUUGAAAGUGCUAACUUAAACAAGAUCGCUGUUUCUUUCUGCAAUGUUGUAAAAGGUUGCUGAAUGGUACAACAAUCUUAAAUAAGCUUGUUGUUUGAUA